AGUGAACGCUGGCGGCGUGCUUAACACAUGCAAGUCGAACGAGAACGGGCUAUAGCUUGCUAUAGUUGUCAGCUAAGUGGCGCACGGGUGAGUAAUGUAUAGGUAAUAUGCCUCUUACUAAGGGUAACAAAUGGAAAAGUUUUGUUAUAACCUAUAACUCUUAUUAACAGGAGGUAAUUAGGGAAAGAUUUAUUGGUAAGGGAUUAGCCUGUAUUGUAUCAGUUAGUUUGUGGGGUAAUGGCUUACCAAGACUAUGACACAUAACUGGUUUGAGAGGAUGUUCAGUCACACUGGAACUGAGACACGGUCCAGACUCCUACGGGAGGCAGCAGUGGGGAAUAUUGCACAAUGGACGAAAGUCUGAUGCAGCAACGCCGCGUGGAGGAUGACACAUUUCGGUGCGUAAACUCCUUUUAUAUGAGAAGAUAAUGACGGUAUUAUAUGAAUAAGCACCGGCUAACUCCGUGCCAGCAGCCGCAGUAA
rnacentral:rRNA from 1 species